GCUAUACUGAGGUAAAUCCAUGUAAAUCACACUCUCGGGGAUGCUCUUCCCCUCUCGUUCUUGUGUUUGUUUCCAGCUAUAGCUGCUGUUUUGACCAUUGAGGAAAGAGCCAUUUUUGUAGGUGAGCGCCUGAAGAAGAACCAGCUGCCUGCGACUGCUGCACCGGUCGGUGCCAAAACUCCCUAAGGCGAGCAGGAAAGAGUUAAACGCAUUCCCAGGCUGUGAGCAUUUAGAGCCAGGCUAGACCGUUCAUUCCCAAGCUGCCGAGAUCCUGGGCUCCUAAUUACUACUGAUUGCAAACUUUGGGGCUGUCCUAUAUUCCGCAUAAUUAACACUGGACUGCUGCUCGAUGAUCAACAGCACUCCUCAGCACCCAGAUCAACGUUAGCCAGAUCAGGCACCUGAAUGGCUUCAUUGUUUGGGCUUCCUCUUUUCGUCCUCCAAACGUAAUUUUAAUUCCUGGAUUAUUUCAGAGCUAAAUAAACACCAGACGUGUUUAGUAUAAAUCCAGCAAGACCGAUCUGGAUCUCUGCUGUCCUGCCAUUCGCAUGGCAAAGGAGAGGAAAGGCGGAAGGUGCGCAGGAAAACACGCCGCGACCCUCGCAGGGACAGCGCUGCCACAGAUCACAGCUUUGUUCUAUCGCCACCGUUCCAACUGUUUUCCCCUACCAGAUUAGAUUUAUACUGACAACUCGUCCCCUGUGAAGGUGCCACGGAGUGGCAUUUAUUUGCAUUUACAUUGCAGUUCUCUUCAUCAAUCAACUUUGCAGAGAUCACCGCUGCUGCUGGCCAUAUUGUUGCUGUGCUGACACUUCAUCCUUAAGUGCCGCUUGCGUAAUGGUACAGUACGUGCCCAUGACCAAAGUUUAAAUCAAAGUUUAAUCAUUACGGAAAAACAAACAUGUUUCCGCGACUGUGUAUCCUGCAAGUAAAAGUAAAGGCAGUUUGGUCAGGUCACAGAUGCUAAUCUCUGCUCUUUUUCUAUUCACAAACUAUAAAGGGAGUUGACAGCACCUGUAAAUGGUUUUCUGAGGCUAGAUUAUAUCAAAGGUGAUUAUUAUUUACACCCACUAUAAAGACUGCUCUUGUGAGCCAAGAAAUCCGUCUGUUCCUUUGAGGUGAGUGUUACCAAAAAAGGGCUUUCUUGCAGAAGGAUUCAGUGGAGCGAGGAGCCAGGGUGAGGGGCGGUUCAAGCUCACAUAGUGCCUUGUCAUAUGUUGGGUUUGUAUAACCCGGGGACUGGAAUAUAGUCGGGAUAUGCUGCAGUUCUGCAUUCCCAGACUCUCGGGAUGAAGAGGAAAGCCUCAGCUCUCUCAACUGGAGUUUUUAAAGCAGGAGCUGACCUUUUCCCACAGCCCAGUUCUGCUUCUCAUAUGAAGACCAACACGGGGCAGUAAAGAGAUAGGAAAGGAGUUGACCUUCCAGUGUGAACCAGAGCGAAUACAUGCUUGUUUAGUCAAGUAAAGUCAUAUUAAAUGUAGAAAUCCUGCAGCCAUCACUACAUCACUGCAGCUGGAAGCAAAGACUUUUACUUUGACCAGCUUUUAUCUGCCUUACUAGAAGUUUGCUUCUGUGAAGCCUCUACAAUGUCUACAGUUUAGGUGUGAAAUUCCCAAGUGUGAAAUACACCCUCCUUUAGCGCAUCUUCUUCAGCCAUUUUGCAUCUGAGAGACUCAUAUAAUUUAAAGAUUCUUCUGUCUCGCUGCUUCUGCAAGCUUCCCCUGAAAGUGUCACUUUGUCAGAACUGAUUUUCUUACUGUAUUUUAUUUGUUCCUACCAUUUCUGUAACUUCAGCCUAUGCAUUUCGUUAAGUCUUCCUUGUAAAAUAAUUCUGCUGACACACGUCAAAUUCGUUCUCCAGCUCUAUAGAUUUAUAACCAGGCACACAUAACACGUUUGAGACAACUAAAAAUGGAAAAGAGACGCACUGGGCAUGUGAAACGAAUUGUUUAAAGCAACAACUUUUUUGUCGUGUGAGUUUUGAAACGUUAUUAACCGAACACAAGUUAUCUUUCCUGCCCGGUGCUGCAUGGCUGCUGGGCGUGCGCUUGUAGGCGCGUAAGGCAGCUGUGGCACCGCGCCAUGGAAACACCGAGUCCCUUUAAAGUGCAGAGGGAAAGCUGUAACGAACGGGUUUUUGGGCGUUUCUAGCAACAAAGGAACUAGGAAGAGAUACGGAAAGAAAGAAACCCAUCCAGCACAGCCCAGCUGGGAGAGGCUCCGCAUCCCCCCGCUGCGCGCUGCCUGCGCGGGCACCCGCGAGCCCGGCGCUGCGCCAAUGACGCGGGGCCGGUGGCCGCCCGCCGUGCAGCCCGCAGGCUCCUUGCCGACCCGCGGUCGCGCAGUGAGAGUUUAUUACUCUUUGGACGCGGACAGCGAUGCGAGUGUUUGCAAAAAGAGCCACCGACUGCAGCGAGGCGGGCGGUGCAGAGCCCCUCCUGCCUCCGGGCAUCGGCGUCGCCGCCAGGGCGGGCGGGGAGCGGGCAACUUUGGGGAUCGCCGUCGGGAAAAGGCAGGCUUCGGGUUGUUUUUUUUUUUUGGUUUGGUUUGUUGUUUUUUUUUACGAGUGAAAUGAAUUCUCGGCUUAUUUGCAUGAGCCGAAGUUGCUUCGAGUAAUUUGCCUGUUAGCAGUGUUAUGCAAAUGUCAGCAAGCUAUUUAACGGAGGAAACAGGGGAAAAAAAAAAUAAAAAAAAAAUGAGCCGUGUGUUCACAAA